UACGUAGGGGGCAAGCGUUGUCCGGAAUCAUUGGGCGUAAAGAGCGUGUAGGCGGCCAAGUAGGUCCGGUGUGAAAACUCGAGGCUUAACCUCGAGAUGUCAUCGGAAACCAUUUGGCUAGAGUCCGGAAGAGGAAAGUGGAAUUCCUGGUGUAGGGGUGAAAUCCGUAGAUAUCAGGAGGAACAUCGGUGGCGAAGGCGGCAUCCUGGACCGAGAUUGACGCUGAGGCGCGAAAGCUAGGGGAGCAAACGGG
rnacentral:rRNA from 1 species